rnacentral:lncRNA from 1 species
UAGAAUGCCGCGGGUGGUCACAUGUGAGCGCCGCGGCUACUACCUUACUGGACACAGUGCGCCUGGCUACUGCACUAGUAGAAUGCCGCGGGUGGUGACAUGUCAGCGCCACGGCUACUAGGAUAGUGGACACAGCGCGCCUGGCUACUGCACUAGUAGAAUGCCGCGGGUGGUGACAUGUGAGCGCCGCGGCUACUACCUUACUGGACACAGCGCGCCUGGCUACUGCACUAGUAGAAUGCCGCGGGUGGUGACACGUCAGCGCCACGGCUACUAGGAUAGUGGACACAGCGCGCCUGGCUACUACACUAGUAGAAUGCCGCGGGUGGUCACAUGUCAGCUCCACGGCUACUAGGAUAGUGGACACAGCGCGCCUGGCUACUGCACUAGUAGAAUGCCGCGGGUGGUGACACGUCAGCGCCGCGGUACUAGGUUAGUGGACACAGCGCGCCUGGCUACUGCACUAGUAGAAUGCCGCGGGUGGUGACACGUCAGCGCCGCGGCUACUAGCUUACUGGACACAGCGCGCCUGGCUACUGCACUAGUAGAAUGCCGCGGGUGGUGACACGUCAGCGCCGCGGCUACUAGGAUAGUGGACACAGCGCGCCUGGCUACUACACUAGUAGAAUGCCGCGGGUGGUGACACGUCAGCGCCGCGGCUACUAGGAUAGUGGACACAGCGCGCCUGGCUACUGCACUAGCACAAUGCCGCGGGUGGUGACACGUCAGCGCCACGGCUACUAGGAUAGUGGACACAGCGCGCCUGGCUACUGCACUAAUAGAAUGCCGCGGGUGGUGACACGUCAGCGCCGCGGCUGCUAGCUUAGUUGACACAGCGCGCCUGGCUACUGCACUAGUAGAAUGCUGCGGGUGGUGACACGUCAGCUCCACGGCUACUAGGAUAGUGGACACAGCGCGCCUGGCUACUGCACUAGUAGAAUGCCGCGGGUGGUGACACGUCAGCGCCGCG